rnacentral:rRNA from 1 species
UGCAAGUCGAGCGGAACGAUCCUAGCUUGCUAGGAGGCGUCGAGCGGCGGACGGGUGAGUAACACGUGAGAACCUGCCCAUUAGUGGGGGAUAACCUGGGGAAACCCAGGCUAAUACCGCAUAAUCCCUACGGGGGAAAGCAGGGGACCUUCGGGCCUUGUGCUGAUGGAUGAGCUCGCGUCGGAUUAGCUUGUUGGUGAGGUAAUGGCUCACCAAGGCGACGAUCCGUAGCUGGUCUUAGAGGAUGAUCAGCCACACCGGGACUGAGACACGGCCCGGACUCCUACGGGAGGCAGCAGUGGGGAAUCUUGGACAAUGGGGGCAACCCUGAUCCAGCCAUGCCGCGUGUGUGAAGAAGGCCUUCGGGUUGUAAAGCACUUUCAGUAGGGAGGAAGGCUUAUCCUUAAUACGGAUGAGUACUUGACGUUACCUACAGAAGAAGCACCGGCUAAUUUCGUGCCAGCAGCCGCGGUAAUACGAAAGGUGCGAGCGUUAAUCGGAAUUACUGGGCGUAAAGCGCGCGUAGGCGGUUUGCUAAGUCAGAUGUGAAAGCCCCGGGCUCAACCUGGGAACUGCAUUUGAAACUGGCAGGCUAGAAUGCAGUAGAGGGAGGUGGAAUUUCCGGUGUAGCGGUGAAAUGCGUAGAGAUCGGAAGGAACACCAGUGGCGAAGGCGGCCUCCUGGACUGACAUUGACGCUGAGGUGCGAAAGCGUGGGGAGCAAACAGGAUUAGAUACUCUGGUAGUCCACGCCGUAAACGAUGUCUACUAGUCGUUGGGAAUCUUAGUAUUCUUGGUGACGAAGUUAACGCGAUAAGUAAACCGCCUGGGAGUACGGGCCGCAAGGUUAAAACUCAAAUGAAUUGACGGGGGCUCGCACAAGCGGUGGAGCAUGUGUUUAAUUCGAUGCAACGCGAAGACCUUACCAGGCCUUGACAUCCUUGGAACUUUCUAGAGAUAGAUUGUGCCUUCGGGAGCAAGUGACAGUGCUGCAUGCUGUCGUCAGCUCGUGUCGUGAGAUGUGGUUAGUCCCGUACGAGCGCCACCCUUUGUUCUCUAGUUGCCAGCACAUAUGGGUGGGGAACUCUA